UAGUCAACUUCUUGCCUCGGCCUUCUCCUGAGUGGGGGAAUCUAUCCUAGUUCUCUCACUCACUUCGGAGCCGCUGUAAAAGAAAGAAAACUUUUUUCCCUGACAAUGACUAAAAGAGGGAACAGGGAACGGCAGUCCCCUUUCUGGGUUGGGGAUGGCGCACCAGGAGAUUCCGUUCGAGGGGAAAGGAAAGAUGAUGCCAAACAAAGGAGGUGGGGUGGGGAUGGUGGAAACCGAAAAAAAACAAAAAACAAAAAACAACCAAACCCCAAGACAGGGGUAGAAGCCAAAUGGAGAGAGAAAUGCCCCAGAAAGCUGACGCUCCCCACUCUGGGGUCUGGCCACCUGGGGCCCUCGACUGCCCACGGCGGCGUGGGGUGGGCUCAGGCGGCAGAGCGGGGCGGGAGGGGCCAGAGCCGCAUGCGCCUGCCCCAGGGCGCCGGGCGGGCCAGGGCUCAGGGAGGACAGGCCGGACUGCCCUUGCCCAGGAGUGAGGCGAGCAGGCGGCUGCGGGCAAAGGGAAUGGUGGGGUCAGAGGCCAAGGUCUCCCAGGCCGAGGGCACGAACCCGGCCACGAGGCGCGCCCGGGCUCGUGACCCCUCCUUCCCGGCCCGACGGCGCCCCGAGGAGCCCCAGUCUUCGAGCCCGGGGUUCAACCCGCCCGCCCAACCGCGCGUGGCCUGAAGAUCCGAGCCGGAGGCAGCCUCGAAGUUUCUACAGUCCUCAGGCUCCCAACCCGGAUCAGAACAUGGUAAGACGCGCUCAGCGUGGCCCCGGCCUGUGGACGACUACCGUCGCUGCCUGGACCCACCCAGCCAACCGCUCUCUCGCCGCCUGACCCAAACGGCCGGGCCCUACCGACGCCAUGAGCAGCCCCGGCCCCGGGGAACGCAAGCCAGGCGACCUAGAGGCCCAUCCGCCAGGCGGCUGAAGACGGGGCCUGAGGUGGCCUGGAAAAGUCAAGUCCUCGCCCACCCCAACCGCAUUAGGAUCAUUUAAAACCGAGUAACCUUGGCCUGCCUUCGACCCCACAUCCCUGACCGUGUCAGGACCCACCUGGCCAACGGUCACCGAACUUCUGACCAUGAAGUGGGGUGAGCAGCAGGGAAAGCAAGACUGCGCUUCCUGAUUGGCCAGCUUGUCCGCCUAGUGUAUCCUGGGAGUUGUAGUCCCAGGCAAGGGCCCAGCGGAGAAAGUUCUAGAUGCCAGGCUGAAAGUGACAGUAAAAAUGAGUGGAGAGAUGUACGCUGGUUUCUUGCCAAGUGGAGAAGCUGGGAUUCAAGCCAUCUUUGCUGGAUUCCAAGAGGAAUCCCCGCCACUGCAACCUCUGGGGCUGACGCAGACACUGUUCUUGGUGCCCCGGGGAAUUGCCUUCCGCUGAGUGAGGAGCACAGACCUCCAGCAUCAGGUUCUACGCCACUCUUUGUCUUCUCUAAGCCUCCCCUGCAACACACACCAGCCUCCUGAGCCAGUCCUUCCUUGUAAAGCACAUGGCCUGUUUAUUUUAGAUCCAACAACCUUCAGUUUAACACUGGAAUUUGUUGUCUGAUGCAGAGUUAGAUAGAUGAAGAGGGGCACAGGAGAACUGAGCUUCAGUCCUAAGGAUAGCUAGCUGUGUAAUCAUGGAAAAGCGUACCUUCCUGUGCCUGAACUGCAGUUUUCCUCGUCAGUUUCCUUAUGGGGGAUGGGCUAGAUCAGUGUCUCCUAAGUGUCACUCAUUAUUGGGCCACUUUGAUGACUGGUAGUCCUAACUGUGUACCACCUAUAUUAUUAUUACCUUAAUAUUUUAAAUUUACUUUCCUUUAAAAUUUAAAUCUUCUUAAAAUCCUUAUAUCACCAAUGUUAAUGGAAUAAAAUAUAAACAGAAGGUAAUAGAAAAAAUAAAGACAAUGAAAAGAG
ensembl:lncRNA